rnacentral:rRNA from 1 species
CAGCCGUAAACAAUGUGCGUUAGGUAUGUCGGUAACCACGUGUUACUGAUGUGCCGAAGAGAAAUCGUGAAACGCACCACCUGGGAAGUACGGUCGCAAGGCUGAAACUUAAAGGAAUUGGCGGGGGAGCACCACAACAGGUGGAGCCUGCGGUUUAAUUGGAUUCAACGCCGGAAAUCUUACCGGGACCGACAGCAACAUGAAGGCCAAGCUGAAGACUUUGCCGGAUUAGCUGAGAGGAGGUGCAUGGCGUAGUCGUGU